rnacentral:rRNA from 1 species
AACGAACGCUGGCGGCAUGCCUAACACAUGCAAGUCGAACGAGACCUUCGGGUCUAGUGGCGCACGGGUGCGUAACGCGUGGGAACCUGCCCUUAGGUUCGGAAUAACUCCCCGAAAGGGGUGCUAAUACCGGAUAAUGUCUUCGGACCAAAGAUUUAUCGCCUUUGGAUGGGCCCGCGUUGGAUUAGCUAGUUGGUAGGGUAAAAGCCUACCAAGGCGACGAUCCAUAGCUGGUCUGAGAGGAUGAUCAGCCACACUGGGACUGAGACACGGCCCAGACUCGUACGGGAGGCAGCAGUGGGGAAUAUUGGACAGUGGGCGAAAGCCUGAGCCAGCAAGGCCGCGUGGGUGAUGAAGGCCUUAGGGUUGUAAAGCUCUUUUACCCGGGAUGAUAAUGACAGUACCGGGAGAAUAAGCACCGGCUAACUCCGUG